UUUGGGGCAAGUGCGCCUGUAGUCCCUCCCAGCUACUUGGGAGGCUGAGGCCAGAGGAUUGCUUGAGUCCAGGAGUUCUGGGCUAUCGUGCGCUAUGCCGAUUGGGUGUCCGCACUAAGUUCAGCAUCAAUAUGGUGACCUCCCGGGAGCGGGUGACCACCACGUUGCCUAAGGAGGGGUGAACUGGCACAAGUCAGAAACGGAGCAGGUCAAAACUCCCGUGCUGAUCAGUUAGUACUUUUUUAGCCUUACCUUACCUAAGUUAUAAUAUUUAAAAUUUUGUAUUAU
ensembl:misc_RNA Metazoa_SRP Metazoan signal recognition particle RNA